UACGAAGGGUGCAAACGUUGCUCGGAAUCAUUGGGCGUAAAGCGCACGUAGGCGGCCUCGCAAGUCGGAUGUGAAAUCCCACGGCUCAACCGUGGACGUGCAUCCGAAACUGCUCGGCUCGAGUAUGGAAGAGGGUCGCGGAAUUUCCGGUGUAGAGGUGAAAUUCGUAGAUAUCGGGAGGAACACCAGUGGCGAAGGCGGCGACCUGGGCCAAUACUGACGCUGAGGUGCGAAAGCGUGGGGAGCAAACAGG
rnacentral:rRNA from 1 species